UGCAUAUCAAUAAGCGGAGGAAAAGAAACUAACAAGGAUUCCCCUAGUAACUGCGAGUGAAGCGGGAAAAGCUCAAAUUUAAAAUCUGGCGGUCUUUGGCCGUCCGAGUUGUAGUCUGGAGAAGCGUUUUCCGCGUUGGACCGUGUACAAGUCUCUUGGAACAGAGCGUCAUAGAGGGUGAGAAUCCCGUCUUUGACACGGACUACCAAUGCUUUGUGAUGCGCUCUCAAAGAGUCGCGUUGUUUGGGAAUGCAGCGCAAAAUGGGAGGUGAAUUCCUUCUAAAGCUAAAUAUUGGCGAGAGACCGAUAGCGAACAAGUACCGUGAGGGAAAGAUGAAAAGCACUUUGGAAAGAGAGUUAAACAGUACGUGAAAUUGCUGAAAGGGAAACGCUUGAAGUCAGUCGCGUCGUCCGGAACUCAGCCUUGCUUCGGCUCGGUGCACUUUCCGGAUGACGGGCCAGCAUCGAUUUUGACCGCUGGAAAAGGGCUGGAGGAAUGUGGCACCUUCGGGUGUGUUAUAGCCUUCAGUCGCAUACAGCGGUUGGGAUCGAGGAACGCAGCACGCCUUAUGGCUGGGGUUCGCCCACAUUCGUGCUUAGGAUGCUGGCAUAAUGGCUUUAAACGACCCGUCUUGAAACACGGACC
rnacentral:rRNA from 1 species